CUUAGUAACGGCGAGUGAGCGGUAAAAGCUCAAAUUUGAAAUCUGGUACUUUCAGUGCCCGAGUUGUAAUUUGUAGAAUUUGUCUUUGAUUAGGUCCUUGUCUAUGUUCCUUGGAACAGGACGUCAUAGAGGGUGAGAAUCCCGUUUGGCGAGGAUACCUUUUCUCUGUAAGACUUUUUCGAAGAGUCGAGUUGUUUGGGAAUGCAGCUCAAAGUGGGUGGUAAAUUCCAUCUAAAGCUAAAUAUUGGCGAGAGACCGAUAGCGAACAAGUACAGUGAUGGAAAGAUGAAAAGAACUUUGAAAAGAGAGUGAAAAAGUACGUGAAAUUGUUGAAAGGGAAGGGCAUUUGAUCAGACAUGGUGUUUUUUGCAUGCACUCGCCUCUCGUGGGCUUGGGCCUCUCAAAAAUUUCACUGGGCCAACAUCAAUUCUGGCAGCAGGAUAAAUCAUUAAGAAUGUAGCUACUUCGGUAGUGUUAUAGCUUUUUGGAAUACUGUUAGCCGGGAUUGAGGACUGCGCUUCGGCAAGGAUGUUGGCAUAAUGGUUAAAUGCCGCCCGUCUUGAACCC
rnacentral:rRNA from 1 species